CGCAUGUUGACGCAAUCUUGAUGCUCAGGAGCGCAACGCCAUUACGCGUUGGACUCGUCACCGGCUCCUUCAUGCUGCUCUGGGUUCCGCUGGUUGGUUAUAUGAAUGAAAUCUAAUGAUGUAAAUAUGUUAGCCAUGUAAUUGCAGCUGAACUUAGGCAAAGAAACAAUUCGGGGAUAUCGUAACAACUCUAAACAUGUUUUAACUAUCUAUCUGGGAGUAUUAAGGAAGAUGAAUUCCUUUCAGUUUUAGGUUAACAACACUUCUCAGUAGUUAAAUAUAUUUUUGUGUAUCUUAUGAGUAAAGGAGCAGAAGUGGCGAAUGAAUUCGUCAAGCGUUGAUCGAUCAGAAACUUGAGAGGAAUUUACGUCAAAUCGGCCUAAACAUGAUAUCUCGUCAGAGUAAGGACUUUCUCAUACGGAUUGCCGGUUACUGGAAGCCGCUUUUCAGAGGCAGAUUUCUAAUCGUGACAAACACGGUGAGUUGUGGGGGAAUGUUAGCAGCGGGCGACCUCAUCCAGCAGACGCGAGAGAUACGAAAGACACCCGGACGAGCACGUGACUGGUGGCGUACAGGUUGUAUGUUUGCUGUCGGAUGCUCUAUGGGCCCCUUUAUGCACUAUUGGUACAUGUGGCUCGACAAAUACUUUGUUGGCAAUGGCAUAAGUAAUGUCUGCAAGAAAGUGCUUACUGAUCAGCUGGUUGCAUCGCCAGCACUGGGGGCCUGGUACUUUCUAGGUAUGGGUAUGAUGGAGGGUCACACUUUGUCUGAGGCACAAAGAGAAUUCAGAGACAAAUUCUGGGAGUUUUACAAGGCAGAUUGGUGUGUUUGGCCAGCAGCUCAAAUGGUAAACUUCUACUUCUUGCCACCCAAGUUCCGUGUCCUUUAUGUGAAUAUAAUUACCCUGGGAUGGGACACCUACCUCUCCUACCUCAAACACAGGCAUCCAAGAUGUAGGUGACUUUGUUUCUUCAGUAGAACACAAAUGAGGAUUUUUAACUCCAACCGUUGCGGUCUGUCAGUCGUAUAAUGCACGUCAAUGGGAACUCCAUCUAUAAGAGUCAAAAAACAUGCACAGACAAAUCCAAAUUAAACCCUGCGGCUCGUGAUGACACAUUGAUGUACUAAGACACGAAACAAUUGGUUUGUGCGAGAAACCAAACAGUAUUUAUAUCAUUUUUUUUACCUCUAAUACACCACUAUGUCCAACUGCCUUGAGCACCCCUUUGGUGAGGUCUAAAAACACGCUCUGAUGACAGAAGUGAUCUCUCGCGUGUAUAUGUCAAUGAGUGCGACCGAUCACUUCCGGCAUCAGAGUGCAUUCAGAUGCUCAAGGCAGUUGGACAUAGUGUUGUAUUAGAGGUAAAAAAUGAUAUAAAUACUGUUCGGUUUCUCGCACAAACCGAUUGUUUCGUGUCUUAGGACAUCAGUGUGUCGUCACGAGCUGCAGGGUUUAAUUUGGAUUUGUCUGUGCAUGUUUUUUUUUUAUUCUUAUAAAUGGAGUUCCCAUUGCCAUGCAUUAUACGACUGACAGACAGCUUUUUUGUUGUUCUUAAAAAAAACAAACAAGCAAGCCCAGCCCAGGAGACCAAGCAGAUUCCACAAAAGAAGCUGAAUGAACCGAGUGAAGAUGUAUGAAGAAAAGGAAUAUUUCAAAACCCAGAUCUGGUUGGAUCACAAAAAUUUAAUUAAAUCUGAUUAUUCAUGACUGUUAAUGUACAGCUUUGUUUUUUUUUUGUUUUUUUUUCAUAUAAUAGAAUUAAUAAAAGUUUUAUCCAGUAAUGCCA